AUUGAACGCUAGCGGGAUGCUUUACACAUGCAAGUCGAACGAGUGGCGGACGGGUGAGAAAUAUAACGGAACGUGCCCAGAAGCGGGGGAUAAAUACUCGAAAGAGUGGCUAAUACCGCAAAACAGUGGCGCAGCCGAUAUCGGAUGAGCUAGUUGGUGGGGUAACGGCUCACCAAGGCAACGAUCCGUAGCUGGUUUGAGAGGACGACCAGCCACACUGGGACUGAGACACGGCCCAGACUCCUACGGGAGGCAGCAGUGGGGAAUUUUGGACAAUGGGGGAAACCCUGAUCCAGCCAUCCCGCGUGUAUGAGAAGGCCUUCGGGUUGUAAAGUACUUUUGGCAGAGAAGCGGUAUCUGCAGAAUAAGCACCGGCUAACUACGUGCCAGCAGCCGCGGUAAUUC
rnacentral:rRNA from 1 species